rnacentral:lncRNA from 1 species
UCUUCAAUCUUCAAUCUUUGUCGUGAUGACAGAGUAAUCUCUCUUGUGAAUUAUCCUCUCUUGUAAAAUUAUUAUCACUAAUGUAGUUUCUCCUUUGUACUUAGAUAUUGUAGGUGGCGCUUUAAAAAUAUUAUAGAAUUAUAUAAAUGUAUCAAGUGAAAAAAAAAGAAAAAAAUGAUUAAUUAGGUUAUCGAAAUGGCAUGAAAAAUUAAAAAAUAUUAAAAAUUAAAAGAAAUUUGUAUUAAAUUAUCCACUAAAACGGUUUGUUUCCUCUAUGUACUCCGCUAAUAGUUGAU